AACGAACGCUGGCGGCAGGCCUAACACAUACAAGUCGAGCGGAUGAAGAGAGCUUGCUCUCUGAUUCAGCGGCGGACGGGUGAGUAAUGCCUAGGAAUCUGCCUGGUAGUGGGGGACAACGUUUCGAAAGGAACGCUAAUACCGCAUACGUCCUACGGGAGAAAGUGGGGGAUCUUCGGACCUCACGCUAUCAGAUGAGCCUAGGUACGAUUAGCUAGUUGGUGAGGUAAAGGCUCACCAAGGCGACGAUCGUUAACUGGUCUGAGAGGAUGAUCAGUCACACUGGAACUGAGACACGGUCCAGACUCCUACGGGAGGCAGCAGUGGGGAAUAUUGGACAAUGGGCGAAAGCCUGAUCCAGCCAUGCCGCGUGUGUGAAGAAGGUCUUCGGAUUGUAAAGCACUUUAAGUUGGGAGGAAGGGCAGUAAGUUAAUACCUUGCUGUUUUGACGUUACCGACAGAAUAAGCACCGGCUAACUUCGUGCCAGCCGCCGCGGUAAUAC
rnacentral:rRNA from 1 species